rnacentral:rRNA from 1 species
GGGUUGUGAGGUUAAGCGACUAAGCGUACACGGUGGAUGCCCUGGCAGUCAGAGGCGAUGAAGGACGUGCUAAUCUGCGAUAAGCGUCGGUAAGGUGAUAUGAACCGUUAUAACCGGCGAUUUCCGAAUGGGGAAACCCAGUGUGUUUCGACACACUAUCAUUAACUGAAUCCAUAGGUUAAUGAGGCGAACCGGGGGAACUGAAACAUCUAAGUACCCCGAGGAAAAGAAAUCAACCGAGAUUCCCCCAGUAGCGGCGAGCGAACGGGGAGCAGCCCAGAGCCUGAAUCAGUAUGUGUGUUAGUGGAAUCGUCUGGAAAGGCGCGCGAUACAGGGUGACAGCCCCGUACACAAAAAUGCACAUAUUGUGAGCUCGAUGAGUAGGGCGGGACACGUGGUAUCCUGUCUGAAUAUGGGGGGACCAUCCUCCAAGGCUAAAUACUCCGGACUGACCGAUAGUGAACCAGUACCGUGAGGGAAAGGCGAAAAGAACCCCGGCGAGGGGAGUGAAAAAGAACCUGAAACCGUGUACGUACAAGCAGUGGGAGC